AAACUUUCAAACGGAUCUCUUGGUUCUGGCAUCGAUGAAGAACGCAGCAAAUGCGAUAAGUAUGUGAAUUGCAGAUUCAGUGAAUCAUCGAAUCUUUGAACGCACAUUGCGCCGCCAGUAUUCUGGCGGCAUGCUGUUCGAGCGUCAUUUCAACCUCAGCCAGCUUGGUGUUGGGAGCUGCAGUCCUGCUGCACUCCCAAUACAUUGGCGGUCACGUCGAGCUUCCAUAGCGUAGUAUUUACUAUCGUUACUGUAUCGUCGCGGCACGCGUUAACCCAAUUCUGAUGUUGACUCGGAUCAGGUAGGAUACCGCUGACUUAGCAUAUCAUAAGCGGAGGAAAGAACCAACAGGAUUGCCUAGUACGGCGAGUGAGCGCACAGCUCAAUUUGAAUCUGGCUUUCGGCCGAGUUGUAUUUGUAGAGGAUGAUUUUGAUGCGGUGCUUCGAGUUCCUGGACGGGACGCAUAGAGGGUGAGCCCGUCUGGUUGGAUGCAAAUCUCUGUAAUCUCUUCGACGAGUCGAGUAGUUUGGAUGUGCUCUAAUGGGGUAUAUGUCUUCUAAGCUAAUACGGCAGGACGAUAGCGCACAGUAGAGUGAUCGAAGAUGAAAGCACUUUGAAAGAGAGUUAAAAGUACGUGAAAUUGUUGAAAGGGAAGCGUUUAUGACCAGACUUGGGCUUGGUUAUCAUCUGGGUUCUCUCCAGUGCACUUUUCAGCCAGGCCAGCAUCAGUUUUCGCGGGGAUAAGACUUCGGAUGUGGCUCCUCGGGGUGUUAUAGCCGUUGUGUAAUACCUGGUGGGGACUGAGGUUCGCGCUUCUGCAGGAUGCUGGCGUAAUGGUCAUCAACGACCGUCUUGAAACGGACAAGGAGUCGUCUUCGUAUGCGAGUGUUCGGGUGUCAACCCUACGCGUAUGAAGUGAACGCAGGUGAGAGCUUCGGCGCAUCAUCGACCGAUCCUGAUGUUCUCGGAUGGAUUUGAGUAGAGCAUACGGGCCGGACCGAAGAAGGUGACUAUGCUGUGUAGGUGAGCAGAGAAACUUGGUGAGGCUCGCAGCGGUUUGACGUGCAAUCGAUCGUCAACAUGGCAUGGGGCGAAGACUAUCGAACUUCUAGUAGCUGGUUUCGCGAGUUUCCCUCAGGAUAGCAGUGUUGAACUCAGUUUUAUGAGGUAAGCGAUGAUUAGGGAUCGGGGCGCUAUUUAGCUUCAUCAUUCUCAACUUUAAUAUGUAGAGCUCUUGUUGCUUAAUUGAACGUGAGCAUUCGAUGUAUCAACUAGUGGCAUUUUGGUAAGCGAACUGGCGAUGCGGGAUGACCGAACGCGAGGUUAAGGUGCAGAGUAGACGUCAUCAGACACACAAAGGUGUUAGUAAUCUUGACAGCAGGACGGUGGCAUGGAAGUCGGAAUCGCUAGACUGUGUAACAUCACUGCGAAUGUACUAGCCUGAAAUGGAUGGCGUCAGCGUCUCACCAUACUCGCCUCAGGGUAGAACGAGCCUGAGGAGUAGGCGGACGUGAGGUCAGUGACGAGCUAGGCGUGAGCCGGUUGACGGCCUCUAGUGCAGAUCUUGGUGGUAGUAGCAAUACUUCAAUGAGAACUUGAAGACCGAAGUGGGAAGGUUCAUGUGAACAGCGGUUGGACAUGGGUUAGUCGAUCUAAGCUAUAGGAAGUUCGUUUCAAGGCGCACUUUGCGCCGUCUAGCGAAGGGAGCCGGUCAUAUUCGGCACUGGAUGUGGGUUUUGCGCGGCACGCACUGAACGUGGAGACGACGGCGGGGCCCAAGCGAGUUCUCUUUUCUUUUAACGUCUCUCACCUGAAUCGGUUUGUCCGGAGCUAGGGUUUAAUGGCUGGAAGAGCCGGACCUUGCGGGUUUGGUGCGCUCUCGACGUCCUUGAAAUCACGGGAAGAAUAUUCUCACGCAGGUCGUACUCUAACGCAGCAGGUCUCCAGGUGAACAGCUCUGGUUGAUAGACAUGUAGAUAAGGAGUCGGCAAAUAGAUCCGUAACUUCGGGAAAGGAUUGGCUCUAAGGGUUGGGCACGUUGGGCUUGGCGGACGUCUGGGAGCAGGCCGCAUAGUCGGGCAACGACGGAGGCGGCCGCAUCGGGUGCUGAUGCCUUGGCAGGCUUCGGCGUCGGCGUGCGGUUAACACCACUUAGAACUGGUACGGACAGGGGAAUCUGACUGUCUAUUAAACUAGCAUUGCGAUGGCAGAAGUGGUGUUGACGCAAUGUGAUUUCUGCCAGUGCUCUGAAUGUCAAGUGAAGUAUUCACAAGCGCGGGUAAACGGCGGGAGUACUAUGAUCUCUUAGGUAGCAAUGCUCGUCAUCUAUUAGUGACGCGCAUGAAUGGAUUACGAGAUUCCACUGUCCUAUUACUAUCUAGCGAACCAGCAAGGACGGGCUUGGCAGAAUCAGCGGGAAGAGACCUGUUGAGCUUGACUCUAGUUUGACAUUGUGAAAGACAUAGGAGUGUAGAAUAGGUGGGAGCUUCGGCGCGGUGAAUACCAUAUCUAUUGUUUUUUACUUAUUCAAUGAGCGGGGCUGGAUUUACGUCAACUUCUGGUUUUAAGUCUUCGCGGCGACCGGGUUGAGACUUGUCAGGUGGGAGUUUGGCUGGGCGGCAUCUGUUAACAUACGCAGGUGUCUAAGGGGGCUCAUGGAGAAGAAUCUCAGUGAACAAAGGGUAAAGUCCCUUGAUUUUGAUUUUCAGUGUGAUACAACCAUGAAGUGUGGCUAUCGAUCUUUAGUCCUCGACAUUUGAGGCUAGAGGUGCAGAAAGUUACAGGAUACUGGCUUGUGGCGGCAAGCGUUCAUAGCGACGUCGCUUUUUGAUCUUCGAUGUCGGCUCUUCCUAUCAUACGAGCAGAAUUCGGUAGCGUUGGAUUGUUCACCUAUAGGACGUGAGCUGGGUUUAGACCGUCGUGAGACAGGUUAGUUUACCUAUGAUGACUCACCGCAUGGUAAUUCAGCUUAGUACGAGGAACGCUGAUUCAGAUAAUUGGUUUUUGCGGCUGUCGACCGGGCAGUGCGCGAGCUACAUUGCUGGAUAUGGCUGAACGCUCUAAGUCAGAUCAUGCCAGACGCGGUGAUACACCGCAGUAUAGAUGGACAAGAUAGGCUCGGCUUAGCGUUUAGCAGGCGAUUCUCACGGCGCUCGAAGCGCGUCGUGGUAUUUCGCGUAUUGU
rnacentral:rRNA from 1 species